ensembl:lncRNA
CAGCACCAGCACUUGUGCAGCUGUGCAAGCUAAAUCAUUUCCUGCUGAAGUUCAUCCCACAGCCAAAGUAAUGCCAUCACCAGCAUGACAGAGAAAGAGGGUGGGUGGCUGGAGGCCAGAGUCAGGCUGCAUGGCACUGCCUUUUCUUGGUGAUGCUGACUGAGAGCAGGUAAAGCUCUCUGGAACUCUGUCUGUUGUGAGGACGCUUCUGUGUCCUGGAAACAUGGACUAAAAGACUACGUGGAAGAAAAGUCUCCAUGCAGUCAAGGCAAAGCUGGAGUAUUCCUCAUGGCUUUCCCUUCAAUGACAUACACUUCUUUUGUGUUUAAAUCUUUCUGAGUCUUGACUCACCAGCACAACAUAUAUAGUAUGUUUAAUGUGUAGUGAAGGUAACUAAAUCCUAAAUAUGUAAUCUGAGAUACAGCUGGGCAGUGUGAGUGCUGACAGUUUAGGGAAUAAAUGAAUUGAAUGAAUCUCUGAAAUUGAAACUUAUUUCUGCAUGGUUGCCUGGUGAGGCACUUUAGAUUUACUCAACUUUGACCUCUAAGGCCUCAAGCAAUGACUGCAGUAGUAAAGUCUAAGAAGAUGGCACAUUUACUGUAAUAGAAAGGGAUGAGGAUGUGGCUAAUUGAAUGAAUGCUGUGGGAAAUAUCAGUGGUACUGAAUUUGGACAGCGGGGUGUAUUCCAUAGGCAGAUCCACUCAGGUCAUUCCAGAGAAUGGGCAUGGCAAGUGAACGUGACAGGAGCCUGGACUUUGCACUGCAGCUCUCCGUGGUUAUAAGGCUUUGCUGUUGGCUGAGUGACUGCUAUGGGAUAACUGCAUUAGAAGAGCUGUGGAGAAUCUCCUGGAGCCACAAGUUCCCUCAUUUUGCAUUCACAGAAAGGACUGCCAGACAGGCCCCUGAUCUUUUUCUUCUUCCUCACAUCCUCUUGUGUGGGAGCUGUCCCGGCAAGACCUCUGCUACUCAGCCCAGAAGGCCACUGCUUGCAAGAGCAUUUGGUGCUUUCAGAAAUGUAUCACAUUCCUAGAGACCCUGGGGAAAGGGUGAGAUGAGAUCUCAGCAGCAGCAGCAUCUCCAAACUCCCUUUCCCACACAGUUCCCCUAGGCUGAGUUACAAGCUGCCCAUGUUGAACAAAGAGGCACAGCACUGUGCAUGCAGCAGAAGGUUUGCCAGCAGGGAUGCACAGCUUCCAGCUCCAAAUCAGCCUUUCCUUGCAGUAGUGCAGCUAAGUGCUUGCCUCAAAGCUGCAUCCCAAAAUCUGUGAGGAGCUGCCAGUUCCCUCCAGGCAUGCUUUUAAGGGCAGUGGAAGCAUUCUGAAUCAGCUCGCGGAGGGAUGCCAGCAGCCAGCUGUGAGUGUGUGGGUGUUGGGGUAGCACGUGCUGGCAGCUUCACCCACAGUGAAGCCAUGGAGGAGCAAAAGGAGGUUGGAGUGCAAUACAUCAUUCUGUGCAAUUUUGGUGCUACUGUGAAGCCCAGAGCCUUGCCAUCAGCACAGCCUGUAGAGUGAAUAGGAGCACGUUGAAUCUUCUGGCUGAAGGGCUUGGAGAAGAAAAGCAUGGCCUCUCCAGCCACACAUGAACACUUCUUGCCUCAAAUCCACGACUCAGAGGCUUCUGUGCAAGCGUGAAUCGUUUUUUUUUUUAAAUCUGGGAACAGUGAAGAAGUGCUGUACAACCUCUACAAGUUCAAAGACAGGGAAAUGGCUUGCAGGUUUUUUAAAUGUAAUUUCAAUCCUUUAAAAACACUCUGCCUUGCACACUUUUGUCAUAGUUAUCAGAGCAAAUAAACUUCUAGGCAUAGGGUACCCAUGGUGAUCUAUUUAAAAAGAUGAUGGUUCCCAUUCUAUUCUCAGAGCAAGAAAGGCGUUGGUGAGCAUUAUGUUUAGGAUCAUAUUCUGUAUUUCCUCUCUUAUUAGAUAUUCCUUUUAAUUCUUAUUUCAUUCUGUCCCUCUGUUUUAUUUAUUCCUUUAUAGCUUAAGUGAUACCCGUGCUCAGAAGCGUAGUAUGUUUUAUUAUUCAUAGAAUCGUAGAAUCCUUAGAGUUGUAAGGGAUCUCUGAAGGACAUCUAGUCCACCUCCCCUGCAAUGAACAGGGACACCCAUAGUUAGAUCAUGUUGUCCAGGGCCUGAUCCAGCCUUGUCUUGUAAGCCUCCAGGGCAGGGCAUCGACCACAUCACUGGGCAAGCAGUGCCGGUGCCUAACCACCCUCAUUGUAAAAUAUUUUUUCCUUAAGUCUAACCUAAAUCUACCCUCCCUGAGUUUGAAACCAUUUCCCCUUGUUCUAUCACCACAGACAAUGAAUGAUUAGGUCAGAAAGAGUCUCUCUGGAAGCAUCAUU